rnacentral:rRNA from 2 species
AGUCGAACGAACUCUGGUAUUGAUUGGUGCUUGCAUCAUGAUUUACAUUUGAGUGAGUGGCGAACUGGUGAGUAACACGUGGGAAACCUGCCCAGAAGCGGGGGAUAACACCUGGAAACAGAUGCUAAUACCGCAUAACAACUUGGACCGCAUGGUCCGAGUUUGAAAGAUGGCUUCGGCUAUCACUUUUGGAUGGUCCCGCGGCGUAUUAGCUAGAUGGUGAGGUAACGGCUCACCAUGGCAAUGAUACGUAGCCGACCUGAGAGGGUAAUCGGCCACAUUGGGACUGAGACACGGCCCAAACUCCUACGGGAGGCAGCAGUAGGGAAUCUUCCACAAUGGACGAAAGUCUGAUGGAGCAACGCCGCGUGAGUGAAGAAGGGUUUCGGCUCGUAAAACUCUGUUGUUAAAGAAGAACAUAUCUGAGAGUAACUGUUCAGGUAUUGACGGUAUUUAACCAGAAAGCCACGGCUAACUACGUGCCAGCAGCCGCGGUAAUACGUAGGUGGCAAGCGUUGUCCGGAUUUAUUGGGCGUAAAGCGAGCGCAGGCGGUUUUUUAAGUCUGAUGUGAAAGCCUUCGGCUCAACCGAAGAAGUGCAUCGGAAACUGGGAAACUUGAGUGCAGAAGAGGACAGUGGAACUCCAUGUGUAGCGGUGAAAUGCGUAGAUAUAUGGAAGAACACCAGUGGCGAAGGCGGCUGUCUGGUCUGUAACUGACGCUGAGGCUCGAAAGUAUGGGUAGCAAACAGGAUUAGAUACCCUGGUAGUCCAUACCGUAAACGAUGAAUGCUAAGUGUUGGAGGGUUUCCGCCCUUCAGUGCUGCAGCUAACGCAUUAAGCAUUCCGCCUGGGGAGUACGGCCGCAAGGCUGAAACUCAAAGGAAUUGACGGGGGCCCGCACAAGCGGUGGAGCAUGUGGUUUAAUUCGAAGCUACGCGAAGAACCUUACCAGGUCUUGACAUACUAUGCAAAUCUAAGAGAUUAGACGUUCCCUUCGGGGACAUGGAUACAGGUGGUGCAUGGUUGUCGUCAGCUCGUGUCGUGAGAUGUUGGGUUAAGUCCCGCAACGAGCGCAACCCUUAUUAUCAGUUGCCAGCAUUAAGUUGGGCACUCUGGUGAGACUGCCGGUGACAAACCGGAGGAAGGUGGGGAUGACGUCAAAUCAUCAUGCCCCUUAUGACCUGGGCUACACACGUGCUACAAUGGAUGGUACAACGAGUUGCGAACUCGCGAGAGUAAGCUAAUCUCUUAAAGCCAUUCUCAGUUCGGAUUGUAGGCUGCAACUCGCCUACAUGAAGUCGGAAUCGCUAGUAAUCGCGGAUCAGCAUGCCGCGGUGAAUACGUUCCCGGGCCUUGUACACACCGCCCGUCACACCAUGAGAGUUUGUAACACCCAAAGUCGGUGG